UACGUAGGGAGCAAGCGUUGUCCGGAAUCAUUGGGCGUAAAGAGCGUGUAGGCGGCUAGAUAGGUCCGUUGUGAAAACUCGAGGCUCAACCUCGAGACGCCGGUGGAAACCAUCUAGCUAGAGUCCGGAAGAGGAGAGUGGAAUUCCUGGUGUAGCGGUGAAAUGCGCAGAUAUCAGGAAGAACACCCGUGGCGAAGGCGGCUCUCUGGGACGUGACUGACGCUGAGACGCGAAAGCGUGGGGAGCGAACAGG
rnacentral:rRNA from 1 species